rnacentral:lncRNA from 1 species
AGAUCUAUCCUGCUGUGCUAACUCGUUGUUGAAAGGCUAGUAAAGAGCUCACUAACUUGUAGUAUGUCUCUAACUAUCAUUCUCUUACCAGCCGAGCGAGGUCGUUUCCCUCCUCCAGGGUUUCCUUCCACACCCUUCAAAUAAAACACAGAGCAAUUCAACUUUCCUGGUUUCUGAUUUUUCUGUAGUUUAUUUUACCCAAACCUGCAGUGCUGCUGGUGGCAGGGAAUAGCAGUGAAGGUGAGUGCUGACGUGGUGCUCACCUCUCCCUAAGGGAUUUUUUGCCCUGAGACACCAGCCAGUUGCUCAUGUGCUCCGUGGUGACAUGGGGCGGGACCUGGCCUUGACUCUGGAGCAGCAGAUAAUGGACCAUGACCUUCUUCUGCAAGAUGAGGCCUGCAGAGUCUGAAAAUAAAGGCUGCUUCUACAGAAUUCCUUUGAAGAUAAUGAAAAUAAUUAUGCUUUGUUAUGCACAUUAUGCACAGGCAUUUACACUACGCUAAAAUUAAUUUCUCCUAAGAUUACCUUUGUGGGACCAUAAGUGAACUCCGGAAUGCACCAAACCCUAUCCAUGGAAAGAUGGGGAAGAAAUGCAGCGCUAUAGAUAUACGGGAUGCUCUAGAGAUAACAGGAAUGACUUAAAGUUGCAAAUGAUCAAUGAGUGUGUUGUCGUCCAAUAUGCUGCACUUAGAAUUGAGUUGUAGGCGAUGUUUGGUGCAAAAUAGAAUGUUUACAUUCUAUUGCCAUGGAGAAAUGGAAUGUGUAGAACCUGUAUAAUUGGGUAUGCUUCUAUGUCUUUAUUUCGUGAAAGAUUAAGCUCUUUAUUAUGUCAUAAUGUGUAUAUGAGGACAGUCCCACAGUUGUGUCAAAUUGUCUUUUGAGUGGUGGACCAUUCUUGAUACACACGGGAGACUUUGAAGCGUAAAAAAAACAGCAGCGUUGCAGUUCUUGACACAAACUGGUACCCCUGGCACCUACUACCAUGCCCCGUUGAAAGGCAUGUAAAUAUUUUGUCUUGCCCAUUCACCCUCUGAAUGGCACACAUUCACAAUCCAUGUCUCAAUUAUCUCAAGCCUUACAAUAUUUUUUUAGCAAUUUUCCAUGCUUUCCGCCAUUGUAUAUUACCAUAGAUAUCUGCCCAAAAGAAUCUUGCUGAGGGAAUUGUAGUAUCACAAACAAUAUUCCUGAUCUGUUUCUUACAUCAUUUAUCUUUGAUGUUAAUAUUGCCAAUUAAUAUAUUUAUGUAAAUCUAUGUUAUUUACAUCAACCACAGAGGAAUUUAAGAUACAACCCCCCCCCUUGGAAUCGCAUCAAAAACAAUUGCAUAUUCUUUCGGGGUUAUUGGAAUUUUAAACUUAGCAAGAAAUUCCCCAUAUGAGAGUAGAUAUCCAUCCUUAUUCAGUAACUGACCAACCAAAAUAAUUGUAUUCUCAAACCAAUUAUGAAAAAGACUUGUUUUUAAACCGUAUAUCUUUAUUCCAUAAAAAGUAUCUGCGGGUAAAAAUUGUGUUUAUACGCUAACAUCCAAGCUAAAAUUGCCUGCUUAUGGAAUUUGGCCAACUUUACUGGGAUUUUAUCAAUAUCAAAAUUACAUCAAAGCAAAAAUUCUAAACCAACAACCGAGUCAAAUAAAUACUUAGGAAAGACAUUCUAAAUACUGUUCUUGUCACAGUAUCCAACGAAGGUGGCGCCCCUCCUAGGUCGGGCGGCGCUCGGCGGUCGUCGUCCCCGGCCUAUUAGCUCCCACCGAUCUAUGUUUCUGUGUCUUUUGGUUUUGUCUGUCUAUCCCGCACCUGUCUGUCAUUAGUGGGGGGUUAUUUAGUGUGUAUUUUCAGUUUGGGUUCUCGUGCGGUAUUGUUUAUUGUCCACUCAGGACAGUUGUGUGUUUGGCCUGUUUCGCUGGCCUGUGUACGAG